rnacentral:sRNA from 1 species
AGAGUCCCACCAGGGAAGUGAUGGAA